CUCUCAUCUCUCAUCUCUCAUCUCUCUCUCUCUCUCUCUCUCUCUCGUUAUCGUGUAAUUUUCUGAGUGUUACUCCAGAAUCGCUCGAUUUCCUGGAUAAGAGGUUUCAAAAGCCAUCUUAUUUUCGAGGGUUUGGUGAUUCGAGGUUGGCUUAGGUGGAGUGGCGGAUCUGUUGUAGCGUUCUUCGACGACGACGACGAUUUGGAUCUACGAGGCAUCAAAGGUGUUUGAUGGGGCAGGGCAGUGGGCCUGAGCCUAGAGCUUGGGAGAUUUGUCUUCCAACUAUUUAUCAGCAAGUCUUCCCCCCUGGUUUUGAGUUUAGAGUGAGUGAAUUUAUGGAUUUUUACUGGCAAUUGAAAAGCUGGAAGAGUUUUUGUCUGGAACUGAAUAUGGCUGAGCGAAGCAUCGCAUUCUCAAAGAAGGACCCAAAUAGUUUGAAGCCUGGCCCGGCGUUGAACAAAGAUGGCAUGCUUGAUCUCACCAUUUUUAUCUGUGUCCUUGAACGAAAGAAAGACGAGGUACCUGCUCCUUGUUCUAUUGCUAUAUCUCAGGUUUGUUUCAUGUGAUUCAAGUUAACAAAUACUUUCUCACCUAUGAGCCUCUUGGUUGUUUUGCUGAGCAACGAAGCUGAGACAAGUGCGAACUCACUCUAAAGUGAGUUCAACUACUCUGAAUCUGGAUUGAAGGACUCUACUUAUUGAUGCCGUCAUGACUCAACCGAACUCUUGAAUUUAGUCAUUGUGCAACAGAGGUUAUUCGUAAGGAAGGAUUGCUGUAUCAAGGGAAGGGUUGCAACCUUGGGGAGGAAGAGUCUUGAUGUUAAAAUUUUGAUGGGUUUAUCUGUAAAUUUUUAUUUACUGUAGUUUGAUACAUUUUAAAAUACAGUAUACAGUACAUUAAUGUAGAGGUGCCAGUUGGCACCUUAUUUUUUUAAUCCAGCUUCAUAUUUUUGCCACUGAUAUCAGUGGCUUCCAAAA